AGCGAACGCUGGCGGCAGGCCCAACACAUGCAAGUCGAACGAACUCUUCGGAGUUAGUGGCGGACGGGUGAGUAACACGUGGGAACGUGCCUUUAGGUUCGGAAUAACUCAGGGAAACUUGUGCUAAUACCGAAUGUGCCCUUCGGGGGUAAGAUUUAUCGCCUUUAGAGCGGCCCGCGUCUGAUUAGCUAGUUGGUGAGGUAAAGGCUCACCAAGGCGACGAUCAGUAGCUGGUCUGAGAGGAUGAUCAGCCACAUUGGGACUGAGACACGGCCCAAACUCCUACGGGAGGCAGCAGUGGGGAAUCUUGCGCAAUGGGCGAAAGCCUGACGCAGCCAUGCCGCGUGAAUGAUGAAGGUCUUAGGAUUGUAAAAUUCUUUCACCGGGGACGAUAAUGACGGUACCCGGAGAAGAAGCCCCGGCUAACUUCGUGCCAGCCGCCGCCGUAA
rnacentral:rRNA from 1 species